rnacentral:rRNA from 1 species
AGAUUGAACGCUGGCGGCAUGCCUUACACAUGCAAGUCGAACGGCAGCACGGGAGCAAUCCUGGUGGCGAGUGGCGAACGGGUGAGUAAUAUAUCGGAACGUGCCCAGUCGUGGGGGAUAACGCAGCGAAAGCUGUGCUAAUACCGCAUACGAUCUAUGGAUGAAAGCGGGGGAUCGCAAGACCUCGCGCGAUUGGAGCGGCCGAUAUCAGAUUAGCUAGUUGGUGGGGUAAAAGCCUACCAAGGCGACGAUCUGUAGCUGGUCUGAGAGGACGACCAGCCACACUGGAACUGAGACACGGUCCAGACUCCUACGGGAGCAGCAGUGGGGAAUUUUGGACAAUGGGCGCAAGCCUGAUCCAGCAAUGCCGCGUGCAGGAUGAAGGCCGUUCGGGUUAG